AUGAAGUUUAAUCCAUUAUUUUCCCCCAUCAGACUGAGCCAUCAGCCUCUGCAGCCCAGUUCCCUGGCUGGAGGGGGCCUGGACGCUGCCUGGGCCGCGGGGCCGGGCUCGGGGCAGGUGCCGCUGGAGCCGGGCAGGCAGGGGCAGCAGCAGCCGCGGCACCAGCGGCUCUUGCAGGUGAGCGCUCGGCCGCGCUGGUGCGGGGAUGUGGCGGUACGGGGGUGUGCGAGCACCUCUGUAGCCGUGAGGGUGUUGCACACUCGCUUGCACGUGUCUGUGAGUCUAAAGCUCCAGAGCCCCGCCUGCCUUACCUGCGUGCGGACAUCCAUUGCUCGCCUUUGGGGCCGCCAGAAGGGAGCUCUGGACAUACGUGUCAAUGCCACAUCCCUGGCUCCCGGCGGCCCGGGGCAGCGCGGGGCCUGUCCCUGUUGUGUCACCACCGCCUUCUCCCAGGUGCAGCAGCAGCAGCAGCAGCAGCAGCCGGGGCAGCAGAAGCAGCAGCAGCCGGGGCAGCAGCAGCCGGAGCAGCAGCAGCAGCCGGGGCAGCAGCAGCCGGGGCAGCAGCAGCAGCAUCCGGGGCAGCAGCAGCCGGGGCAGCAGCAGCCGGGGCAGCAGCAGCCGGAGCAGCAGCAGCCGGGGCAGCAGCCGGGGCAGCAGCAGCCGGGGCAGCAGCAGCAGCAGCAGCAGCAGCCGGGGCAGCAGCCGGGGCAGCAGCCGGGGCAGCAGCAGCAGCAGCAGCAGCAGCAGCCGGGGCAGCAGCCGGGGCAGCAGCAGCCGGGGCAGCAGCAGCAGCAGCAGCCGGGGCAGCAGCAGCAGCAGCAGCAGCAGCAGCAGCAGCAGCAGCAGCAGCAGCCGGCGCUCGGACUCCCGCCCGUGCGGCCGCAGGUGAGCAAAGGCGACCGGGCUGUGCUGGGGAGCGCUGAGGGGAGGGACGGGGGUGCUCUGUCCCCCGGGGACGAAGAAGUGACCCUUGGCCACGUGAGGUGCCGGUGGCUGGCACUGCUCCCCGUCACCGUCCUCGUGCUGUUGGGAGCACCCCUGCUGCCUGGCUGA
rnacentral:lncRNA from 13 species